GUGGGGGGUUGGGGGGGCAGACACCAGCUGACCUCGAACUGACCAAUGGGAAGCGUCCGUGCCUGGCAUUCGUUCGCUCUUUUCCUUUCGUUGGAGAGGAAGAGAAGAGGAAGAGGAGGAGGUCUGGGAACUACCGAAUACACCCCCCACCACCAUACACAAACACGGACGCUCCGUUUCCUCUCCGCUUUGUGGGAACGGGAAGCAACAGCAUUGUGUUGGAGCUGACUGGUGUAAUCAUUAAUGAGCACUAACAGUCGGGACAGGACAGGCAUGGCCUACAGCCUGGGACACACACAGGACGAUACAAAUGCAGUUUGGGAGAAGCGAGCGGCAGACGAGACGAAAGAGCAGAGCAAAGAAAAAAAACGACCUAAACUUUGGAAACUUUUUGCUAUUUGAGAACCGGAUGGUUGGUCCCUGUGUGAGUGUGUGUAAGGGAGAUGAGUGGGGGCUGGACAUAAAGGAAUAGCAGAAGGACAUAGUCUGCUUUAAAGCUAGUAAAGAAGUCACAAUUUAUGUCACAUGACCUUACGCUUUGUUGUGUUGAUAUUUGUUAUUUGUUGUUGUGCCUGAUAUUUCCUUGUGUCGAUGGGGAUAUUGAAGUCUACCAAACUUUAACUUGCCGUCCACCAGUAUUGAAAAAAAGGGAACGGGGCUGUGCACCGACGCUGCUAAGAGCAUUACCAUUACAUUGCGUAGGCUAGACCUUUGUGCCGCAGUUCGACGAAUUAUUCAUUCGAGUACCGACAAUACUGUAAAAAAUGGGAGACUUAAAAGACAAAAAAUAAUAUAAGCUACCUCGGAUGGCUUGUUAGCUACUUUGACCACCCCAAAAUCAGUAGGCUAACAGCCUUCCAGUCAUUAGCACUAUAGUUAUUAAGUUUCUACCACUGGUCCAGCACUAAUAACAGGGUAAUGACAAGAAGCGAAAUCUGUUAGAAGUAUAUGAAUCACAAUGACGCAAAUAAAUAGAAACUGUAGAGAGAUGGAAUGGUCUAGAUUAUAUCAGACAACAAAGAAAGCAAAAAGUUAAUAUUGUGGGACAUUCUCCCACGUUGAAAAUUGGUAGGAUGACAAUUGCAAAUCUCAUCUUUUUUCUAAACGGAUAUGUGUUUUAAGCCUGCUGUAUUCCUGCACAGUAAAUCUUUCUGGUGCAGCUUCAGAGUAAAUAGCCAAGAGGCGCUGAAGGAACUCCAGGAAUCCGGGAAACUUCAGAGAUUAUCGACAAUUAAAGCUGAAAGAGUCAGGCGGCUGCUUUAUGGCUUUAUGGAUCCCUUUCACCUUUUGCGCGCGUGUGUGUGGGGGUGGGGGUAUGUGCGAAGGAGAGAGAGAGAACUCAGGACUUUUAUGGUUUUAUGACUUUUUAUGACUCUUUACAAGGAGUCCGAGGAAUGGCUACGAUCUGAAAAACCGCCCCGCAGCAAACCGGCAGAUGAACAAAUGUGUUGUUCUCCGCAAGUAACGAGCACUGUGCAGCUCACCUGCGGUUUAUUUCAGCCGUGGCAGUGAUAGGGUCGACUGCAUUUCACGGGUUAAAUAAUUAACCGUCUAUGAAAUUUAAAAUUCACUGCUUAUCCUACUAAAGUACUCUUAUGUAGCAUUUUAGUUCGAGUUAUUUGUAAAAAGUAGUUUAAAACUCUUAGCGCAUCAGACUGGCCCUCUUCUGGCAGAGCAGACGCGUUUAUUGCAACCACUAAAAUAACCUUUAAUUUAACCCUGUCUCUCAUCAGUGUAAUUUAAAGAGAAACUGUGACUAAACAAAAAAAAUAAAAUAAAAAAAGUAAAAAGAAUAUGCGAUUAAACUGUAUGACAUGUUAAGUAAGUGGUCUAUUAUAAUGUCAUUCAUUUAAAUUUUAUAUGGAUUUUGCCCAUCUCAGAAAAAACAGGGACAUUUUUUGACAUAAGUAGAAUACUUUCGCUCUUUGGAUCGUAUAGAAGAUUCCAGAAGUUGCGAUACUUGAAGAUAAAAAGUUCAUGUGUUUAGAGUUUAGAUAAAUAGAGUUCCUAUUGCUAAUUCUCUCUCGCUCUCUCUCUCUGUGUGUGUGUGUGUGUGUGUGUGUGUGUGUGUGUGUGUGCGUGCGCGCGCGCGCGCGCGAGAAGGAGACCUCUGCUACUGCACCAGUUAAUGACAAACUCCAAAAAACUGCCUGACUAGUACUUUCUCUUGUUUAAUAUAUUAAUCGUUUCCAGGCAGCUUGAGUCGACUCGCCGCGUCCUUCAGGGUACUGUGAGCACGCGCUCCAGGUCAGUUCACCGGACUAUUACCGGUGGACGGGAGCCCUCAGCCACAAAAGGCCUCGGGACCAGUUAAAGUUUAACGGUGGGUGAAUGCAGCAUCAGAAAGAGACCCAUAUUUUUCGGCUAAAUAAGAAGAGUCGAGCUUGAUUAUUCAAACAGUCUUAUUCGACAUUAUUUGGUCAGGUCAGACGAAAAAUAAUAAUAAUAAUUAUAAUUAUAAUAAUAAAAAUCAUAAAUUAACUUCUGAUACUAUCACCCUGGCAAUCGUUAUCUAACUGCACAGAAAAUCCUGUCGAGGUAUUUGUCCGCUGCGCAAACCACAAAUAGAUGAAGGGAAAACAAAUUUUCUGUCUGAUCUCAAUACUCUGAAGUUGAAUGCUGAAUAAAACUAAGACUAUGCUAAAAUCAUAAAUUAAACUGAACACCAUAGUUUUCCCUCCAUGAGGGUCUUUCAGAUGAUUACACACACGUUCACAACUGGAAACAUAUAUCUGAGGGGGACUGCACAACAGAUUUACAGAUAAGCGUGAGUGAUAAAACCACAAAGAAAGGACGAAUUAAUAUGCUUACACAGACAUGAACACAGUGAAGCACAUGCACUCCCUGCUUGCCGCUCUAUUCCGAAACAGCCCUCCUGACCAAUCAGCAUAAAUUUUGCAUCCAGAAUUACUUUUCCGUGAGCACAUCCAGUGCUCGUGCGCAAGCGCAAACACGCACACACACACACACACACACACACACAAGAACACCAUUCUUCUGGGAUUUUGUACACACACGGUUUUCUACACGUUUCAUUCACCACUGUAACAGCAGCCAGGUCUAACCUUGGAGACAAACCAGGACUGAGAGAAACACCCGUUUCUCUACCUCAGUGCUACAAGUCGACCUUUCCAACCCUACAUCAAAGAUAAAAAAAAAAAAAAAAAUCCUUCAGCAUACACUCCUGUGAAAGCACACAAAAGCUUUUUGCACCACUCGCUGUGGCUGACCUGGUAUUAUUUUUCUAGAGAUAAUACAUAAGUAAAAUUGCGGGCAUGGUUUUUGUAAAUCGACACACUUAAUAACGCAUUAACACUGACCCAGGGACGUAUAACUUGUGUUUCCGAGUCUUGAGAAAGAAGAACCUGUGUAUGUGUCUAUGUGCUCUUUGGUAUUGUUGUUAACGGAACACUAGAUGGCACCAGAGUGUCUUGUUAGGUGCGGCCUCUGGGCUGCUCUGAAGCUUCAUUGUGAGGACUGCCGCCGAACACAAACAGCCUCCGGAUUGUGUCUGUCUUUAACCGUUGCUCCCAGAGCUGCGUGAUCACAGCCUUACAGGAAAACAGACUGUUGGCUUGAACUUAUCUACCAAAACAGAGAACACAAGAGAGAAAGACACACAUUGCUCGUACCUUAUAUACCACUCUCCAAAUGUUACUGUCUUCAUUUAGUAUUAUAUAACAAUUCUAUUUGUGUUAAAUUAUCCAUUUUAGUUCCAGAAUUAAGACAUACAUUAACAUUUGUAUAUGAUCCAAAUUGUUUGACGGUUAAAUAAAUGUAUCACUAAAAACGGCACUUCUAAUUAUGCUAAAUACGACCGUAAACAUCUCUCGAGUCCGCGCACACUGCUGCUCUAAAACCUAGUCAAUAAUAAUAAUAAUAAUAAUAAUAAUAAUAAUAAUAAUAAUAAAACUAAUACCACAGUGCUGACAUUAAUGAGUGUCAAUAACAGAUUCGAGAUUCUGCGUGGUCUUUCUCUGUUCAAUAAUCUCAAUACGAUAUUGAUAUCUGCGACAAAAAUAUGCAUAUUUUAGCAUACGUGUUUGUGUCGUGGUAAAAUGUGACACAACAACCCAUAAGUAUGCUUAAUGCAUUUCAGCAAAGUCAAGUUUUUAAAGCAAUUGUUUCACGGUACCUGGGACCAAAAAGAAAUUAAAUUUCAAAUUUUAUUAAAUUUUAUCUAAACAGCGCCAAAUCACAACAGUCCCCUAAAGGCGCUUUAUAUUGUAAGAUAGGCCCUACAAUAGAAAUCCCUUCUAAUCGCAAACACAUUAAAAAAUAUAUACAUCAUUUAUUAUAAGUUUUAUUCCUCUGUUCUGUGUUUGCAUUUGUUUUAUGUAUCACGUUCAGCGUACCCCGUAACUUAACGAAUGCACGACGAAUUUCUGUUCCAUUUACGACUACAGACGGAAUAAAGAAUUUGAAAAGUUGAAAAAUCUGUAGGCACGACUUAGUGUGAUCGUGGCUUUAGAAAGUCCGGCACUGCGUAUUGCAUGUGGCUGACAAUAUAUCCCUAAAACGAGGCACUGACUUUAUCUUAAAAAACUGGUGUUUAUUGAGAAUACUGAAUUUCUCACAAAGGAAGACUGUUGAUUCUAGGGUAUAUGUCCAUCAUGCUAUAGCUUACUAUUAAGGAUAUCCUUGUGUCUACUGUGUGUUUUAAACCAUCCUACCCCAUAAGAAUGAUUGUGUUAGCUGUUCAUCCACAAAGCGGAAUUGGAAGCGACUCGAAAUGUGGUUUUACUGUAAAAAUACAUGUGUAUACAUUUCUAUGAGUGGUUUGUGAAUAAUUAGACAACAACCAAGUAAAUUACUAUAAGGUAAAAUACAAGUUGUUAAAGUGUAUAUUUGCUCAGCGAAAAUUUCCACAGCUAUUUGCAGCCUUGCAAUGUUCUUAGACAAUCAGUCAGACCCUGUUUUGUAUGAGGCGGAAUAUCAAGGUUACAUGUGAGCACAUAUGAGCGUUAGAAAAUAACAUGUUACUAUAAGAAAAACCAUAUAAGCUUUAAACAUUGGGUGAUAAUGAUUUGUCAGUCAGACAAGGUAAAACAUUAAAAUAAAAUCUUCAUUUUUUGUUCUUGUGAUCAAGUGUGUGUGUGUGUGUGUGUGUGUGUGUGUGUGUGUGUGUGUGUGUGUGCGUGCGUGUCUGUGUGUGUGUGUGUUUGUGUGUGUGCUCUGAGAUGAAAAGUCUGGCUUUCUGAUAUUUGAGACGGCAACAAAUUGGAGACCAAAGAGUGUUUGUGACUGUGGGGUUGUGAUUGCAGGGAAAGAAAAAAAACGCCUGCUCCAGGGAGGAAAUGAGAAGGGAACCAAAGCCAUAAAAGUGAGACAGACAAACAUUCCUGUGCUUGUAAACUAUCUCUCUCUCUCUCUCUCUCUCUCUCUCUCACAAACACACACACACACACACACACACACACACACACACACACACACUGUCAAUCUAAUGAAAAACAAAAAAACGAAACAAAAAAACCUACACGCUGGAAGUAAAACACUGACAAAAACCGCAGAAGCUCAUCUUCAAUUCACCUGCAGCCAGAUGCAAACCCCCAAACCAGAAAACUAUGUUGCUUUUAUCUUUAAAAGUCAUAUUAAAUGAGGGACUUCAAAUUCUGCCAAAGCCAUCAGAUCAAAGCCGAUCUUUUUCAUGUGCAUAUUUGCCCCCUCCCUGCCUACACAAUGGGCAGCUUUUGGUGGAAAAGCUGGAAGCUAAUCUUCCAGUUCUCAAACAGCCGAGUUUCGAGCAAUAGAUGGCUCCUCGACAGCCAAUGCCGCUAUUUAAACUAACCAAUAUAUCUGUAUACAUCCAGCUAGGAAACGGUUUAUUCUGAGAUGGCGGAGCAACGCUUCGUUUAGAAAAAUAAAAAAAAACAAAAAAAAA